AAUGGGAUUGGUGGAUAAGAUGGUCAGUCUAUUUUUAAUUUUUUUAAAAACCUCCAUACUGUUUUCCAUAAUGGCUGUACUAAUUUGCAUUCCCACCAACAGU
rnacentral:pre_miRNA from 1 species